UCCCUGGUGGCUCAGACGGUAAAGGGCCUGCCUGCAAUGCAGGAGACCAGGUUCGAUUCCUGGGUCGGGAA
rnacentral:tRNA from 1 species